UACAGAGGGGGCAAGCGUUGUUCGGAAUUACUGGGCGUAAAGGGCGCGUAGGCGGCCUGCUAAGUCGAACGUGAAAUCCCCGAGCUCAACUCGGGAACUGCGUCCGAUACUGGCAGGCUUGAAUCCGGGAGAGGGAUGCGGAAUUCCAGGUGUAGCGGUGAAAUGCGCAGAUAUCAGGAGGAACACCAAUGGCGAAGGCAGCACUCUGGGACGUGACUGACGCUGAGACGCGAAAGCGUGGGGAGCAAACAGG
rnacentral:rRNA from 1 species